AUUCCAGCUCCAAUAGCGUAUAUUAAAGUUGUUGCAGUUAAAAAGCUCGUAGUUGGACCUUGGGCCUGGACGGGCGGUCCGCCUCACGGCGUGUACUGUCUUGCCGGGCCUUUCCUCUUGGUGAUCUGUUGUUUCGGCAGCAGGGAACCAGGACCUUUACUUUGAAAAAAUUAGAGUGUUCAAAGCAGGCUCGACGCCGGAAUAUAUUAGCAUGGAAUAAUAAAAUAGGACGUGCGGUUCUAUUUUGUUGGUUUUUGGAAUCGCCGUAAUGAUUAAUAGGGACAGUCGGGGGCAUUAGUACUCACAUGCUAGAGGUGAAAUUCUUGGAUUUUGUGAAGACUAACUUCUGCGAAAGCAUUUGCCAAGGAUGUUUUCAUCG
rnacentral:rRNA from 1 species